rnacentral:lncRNA from 1 species
UGUUUUACCCUGGUCACUUACUUGUUCUAUUAGUUAAUGUUAUAUUGGCAUCAAACUACAAUACUCAAAGGUAGUGACUUUUUCAUAUGUUAAAAAAAAUAGGUAAGUAAAACUAAAGUAUAAAUUUGAAAAAUAAGGAUCUUUUAAUACUUCUAUAACCUCGGUCACUUCUUCGGCAAUUCAUUUAGAAUUUAAUUUUGGUAAUCAUUUUCAUAAUCAAUAAAAUACACCCUUGUCGGAAUUUUCAUACAAAUCGCUGUGCCCCUUUUUGUUUAAUUUUUUUCCGUAUUUGUCUAUUACAUGAUAAGGGCACUCAUGAUAAGGCCAAGUAAAACAUAAAUCUUUACAUUGAAUUUGUUUCAAUUAAACCUUUUUGAAGUGUCAGCCACUGGACUUCUUCAGUUUCUCUAUUAUCAUUCUAACAUUCAUUGUAGACAUGUCACUUUUUACGAUCAUUUAGUUGCUAUAACGUUUAUUGCUAAAUGUUUAUUUGGAUAAGUCUAUCUUUAGUGGUCGUUCCAAUGGUUUGUUCUUUGAAGUUAUCAUAGAAGCUUAUCUCAGGGAGGGGAUUGUUAAUAAUCGAUGAAAUUUAGCUGUGACGUUGGUUUGAUUGCUUUGUUAAUUUUGUAAACUCUGCCUGUUUAUUUACAAAGGAACUUCAUGGAUUUUCUUACAGGAUAUUGUAUGUAAAUUACCAGAUUUUCUGGAUACAGGAAAGUAUUUUUUACAAUCUUUAUAAUUGCAUAAUUCUUAUAUCUUAUAAAAUGUAUAAUGCUAGAAACAUAUACGCUUUAUUCAGAAAUUGAGUUUUUUGUUGGCGGACACAUUAGAAAGUAUAUAAGUAACAAUGUUACAUAUGUUUAUAUUACAUUUAAAGAAAACAUUAGAAAAUUCCGACACACAAUGUUUUAAAAAUAAGCAUAAAUAAAUGACUGAUUACAUGCCAAAAAUACCAGGAAACAAAAAGUAUCAUUUAAAUUGUCUAAUUUAUCAUGGCAUCCGCAUGUUUCAAACAACUAAGCAAGGUAAAGUGGGAACCUAUGCUGCAAAUCAUUUCCUUCUACAGUUCACAACCAAUACGUUUUGCAUUUCUUAUACCGGAAUGGAAAAGACACCAAAAGGAAUGGAUAAGCAUGAAAAGAACCGACUAGUAACAUUCCAUGAAACAAAAUACACACAAUCGCUUUUAAAAGACAGGGUAUCGGGACACCAUCCCAUCAAACCAGGGCGAAAUAAGGUGCUUCGUUUGUGUAAACAUCAUUCGUGAUAGCUGAGUUGCACAUGGCAAAUAAAAACCAAUACUUAUUGGAUAUCUGAAAUGAGGAAAGGGAAGUCACAAUUAUGUUCAUAUCGGUCAAACAAAUAACGAUGGCAUCCUUAAAACGUUUGAAAAGAUAACUUCACCGUUACCAUUUCGAACCAUUGAAUCGAUGUCUAACUGUGAGCAGCAACGAUCAAUUUAUGAAAACAUGAUAGGAAAGACCCAUCCCAUCGUAUCAAAUGAGAAUGUGUACUAUACAUUGUAUAUGCAGGUGUUGCAGGAAUUUUGCUACAUACAAAUUGACAGUUCAGAAUGAGAAAAUUAAGUUUUCCAAGGUGCUUAAUUCUUCAUAAACCUUCAGUAUGUAAUUGCUAGAAGUAAGUAAAGAAUGAAACAAAUUUUGAUGCAUCUGUGGUAUCCUUUAUUUCAAUUUGAUUAUAAGAAUUUCAAGAUUUAUAUAUGCGUCACUGUUUGAUGAGUUCUGUGUUGUCGUUUAUGGAAGAGUUCUUUGUUAUUCUGCGGUAUUCAUAUUACGUAUGUACUGUUAUUUCAGUUAUGAUGAAUUUAUUUACAACCACUGGGUCGAUGCCACUGCUGGUGGAAUUUUUAUUCCCCGAGGGUAUCACCAGCUCAGUAGUCAGCACGUUGCAGGGAUGGGGUAAUUAAAAAUGUAAUGGUAAAUGAGUGUAACACAUUACAAAUUUCCAUGUAAUUGAAUGUAAUGUGUAAUUGAGCAUAUUUUUAAUUACAUGUAAUGGUAAUUUAAUUAAUUACAAUAAAAAAAGCAUGUAAUGCUAAAUUACUGUUCAAUUUCAUUUCAAUUACAUGUACUUUUAUGGUGUUAAUCAUGUUAAAGAUAAGAAAUUGUGAUAAUAUAAAUAUUAUUUAUUUGACAUACAGAAAUGGUUCCUAAAUAUUCUUAUAACUUAAAAAAAUAUGUGAGAAUCAUAUGUUGGUGUUGUUCAUUUUUUUAAGAAAGAUUUUUUAUCUAAAUAAAUUGAUAACAUGUAUAUAUUCAUACGAUCAAUACAUGUAUGUAUGGCAUGUAUGGUUAAACAAAUGUGUAUAUCUUCCUUAGACAGGUCUUUUAGAAUUUAAAAAAACUGCACACAAUCAUUUUGUCAAAUUAGCAUACACAAAAGGAUUAUAGAAAUAAAAGUUAACAGCUGUAAAAACAAAUAGCAAUUAAUUAGGCUAAAUGUGUAAUAAAAUAGCCUAGGGACAAUUCCACUAUUACAUGUAUUUUAUCUAAUUAGUUAGCAAAAUACUGAUAAUGAUUAGACAUUAUACACGUUUGGGCUAAACAUUAUUAUCAAUCUAGUGAAUAAUCAUGAUAAUUGUAAAGUAAAAAAAACAUGGACAAAGUUUUAAAAAGUUUUGCCUAAGCUGCAUUUGGCAAAAUUGUUAGAAAUACUUUGUCCUCAAUACUCUUCAAUAUUCGAGCAUCACUGAUGAGUCUUUUGUAGACGAAACGCGCGUCUGGUGUAAAUCCAAAAUUUCAUCUAUGAUGAGUUUAUUAUUUACGCGUUUCUCUUUUCUGAGUGUUUUUGCGUUUGUUUGUACUGUAUUCCUGUCACGUAGUGAUGUCCUUCAAGCGAUGUACUCUUUAAAAUUGACAUAUUAUCAGGAUGUUUGGCUGGCCAUAAAAAAGGUACAAUCCACCACUUUUUCUUUAAAUGUCCUGUACCAAGUCAGGAAUAUGGCAGUUGUUAUCAAAUAGUUCGUUUCUCUGUGAGUUUGCGUUUGAUCUUUUUGCACUCCGUCCUAUUGUUUUCUCUUAUAGUUGAUGUGUUACCCUCGGUUUUAAUGUGUUUUCUCUCAAUCGAUUUACGACUUUUGAACAGGGUAUACUACUGUUGAGCAUUUUAUUACUCAGCUAAUUGUCACAAUAUCAAAUUAUAUAGGUAUGUUGAAAGCAUCUAUGACCGAUGAUAUAUUGGUGUCUCGGAUCACUAGCGACGUGCUUUCGCGGUCUUAAAUCUUGACAUACCAAUACAAUCGUCUGGUCUGUAAUUUUAGUGAUGCUGUCAUAUUUCCGAUUAUCACAUUUAGACAGAGUAUGAAUUUGCAUAACACUGAUGCAUACAAAGUAGGAAACGCGUAACAUGAUGACGCAUCUGGUCGCGCUCCUUUUGAAGUUUAUACAAUUCCUUCAGUGUUUAUUUGUAACCUUGAUUUGUCUGUUCUUCAUAGAUUAACAAUAUUUAAACAGAGUUUAACAAUAGUUCCCUAAAUUAACACCUAAAAAUUAAGAACGAAGGUCUGUUAAGAACUAAAGUUUACAACAAAAGAGAUUAUGUCAUCUUCCAAUGGUGAACUUUCCAUUGAUGCCACUGCUGGUGGAGACUUAUUUCCCCGAGGGUAUCACCAGCCCAGUAGUCAGCACUUUUUGUGCUGACAUGAAUUAUCAUUGAUAUGGUUAUAUUUAUAAAUUAACUGUUUAACAAAUUUUGAAUAUUUGAAAUACUAAGGCUUUUCUACCUCAGGCAUAGAUUACCUUAGCUGUAUUUGGCAAAAGUUUAAGGAAUUUUGGUCUUCAAUGCUCUUCAACUUCGUACUUUAUUUGGAAACCGGAGUCUUGCGUAUAUACAAAAUUUAGUCCUGGUAUCUAUGAUGAGUUUAUUUCUUAUGUAGCAACAUUUUAUCAACACCUUCAUGUGGAAUGCAUAUAUAUCUUCCAAAUACGAUAUUCUAGACCAUGCAUUUGCAAUCAUUAUUCUCUGAUAGUGGAUAACUGAUUAAAGGGAUAUAUUAAACCAAUCUUUCGUGUUGUUAAAGCUGUAGUCAUCCCUACAAAUGUUUUAUGGACGGCAUCAUGAUGAUCGUAGAUAUCAUUAUUAUGAUAAGAACAACAAUCUUCUUCACGUCUUAAACAACUUUCAUAUCUUGUUCAGUAUACUAAAAACUUUUUUUUACUUACAUAUUCUAUGUGUCUGUACCACAUAUCUAUUGCGCAUAAACCCCUCAUUUUACUAUCCAUAGUUAAAUGAGGAGUUGUAUCGGAAUUUGUCAAUUAACUCGUAACUAGAUAAGUCAUGCGCAGUAAUGAUAGAUGAGUUUUAUAAACGUUUAAUGAAUAUUUUUAUCAAAAAAAAAAAAAAAAAAAAGAAAAAUAACAUAUCUUCCAUAAAACAAAAAUAAUUCCUACAAUUAAUGUACAACGUAUUAUAAAAGUAACACCAAAAAAGAUAGUUUUUUUAGCAGAAUAACCCUUCUAAUAAUGGUGUACACAUUUUUUCGACUCAAGCACAAAAUGGUCGAUCGAAUGUAAAGUAGGAUGCUACGCAGUAAACUUUGCAUUUAAACCGCAGUUCUUGAUCUACUUACCUCUCUUUGGUCAUAUAAGAAAAUAAAAUACACAGCAAUUUAAACACAGAGUUUCUAUAGCUAGUUUGUCAUAUUUGAGGAAGUUAACAUUCUAUAGUUUGAGAGCUUAAAAGUGUGAAAUUGAUAAUUAAAGAAUUUAUGGACUAUUCUUCUUCUUUUGAUGUGAAGUUCGGGCAGUCUUUGUUUUUCAAAUUUUGAAUUUGACAAACACCAUGCACUUUCUUGUUUGAGUAGUAAACUCAUAUAUUUUUUACUUUCACAGAAUUCGGCUUCGAUCGAAGCUUAUUACAAAUUGCAUGCAAUAAAAGUGCAGUUAUAAUUAUGAUAGGCAUCGAUUCACUUGAUUGUGAACAGAAUUUUAUUAAAACCCAUUAAAAUGAAUAUUAAUAUUAAAUUAAUCUCCAAUUAGAUUUUUAUUUCUAUUUUAAUCGUGAUGUUAAAAGGAUGUUGCGUAAUUUGCGAUACUAUCAAAACUAACGGAAAUAGAGAAACAUUAUAAAAAAACAAAAACAAAUUUCAUCGACUUUCUUAUAGUUUUUUAACAGUUCAUUUUUAAGUUAUAUUUUAUUCAAACCUUUUUUUUCACUUUCCGUUAUUUUUUUCUCUGACAUUGGUCGGGGGGACGUCUAUCUGCCAUUCUCCGCUGUCGAGCCUCGGCCGGACAUUUUUGUCCCUAGUGACUUACGGUGUCGUUUGGUCUCGAGCUUAUCCGAUAUAUAAUAUUCCAUAAACACGUGCCGUGCGCUCUGAAACUGUAUCAUACAUUCUUUCCUUUCAAAACAAAUAAUCAAUAAUCAACAAAUAAAAAGUAUACAUUUUAAAAACUUUUUUUUUAAACAUACGAUGAAUCAUAAAUUUAUUAAAACAACCGUAUGCAACCAUAUGAACUUUAAUGAUUAGAAACCCAUGUUUGUCCAGAUCAUCAUUAUAAUGUACUCUUUGUUUUCAGUUUUGAUGUAUACAUUGUUUUUUAUAUGUAUUUAUCCGAAAACAGUAAAAACUUAUAGCAAUACCUGUAGUUAUACCUUUAUGAGUUUAUCCAGUUUAUUCAAAAAUCAUACGAAACAUACACAAUUAACGAGAUGGCUUUAAAUUAGAAUAAAUGUCAAAGAAAUCUAUAAUAUGCAACAAUACAGUUGAAAGAUACAGCCCUACAUGUCUUCGAUAAACUCAUCAAUGCGCCAAAAUAUCUUAUCUAAAAAGUAUUGCAAAAUAUUAUCAAGAUAACCAUGAUUCAUUUACUUUGAAAGAAUAUACCAAGUUAUGUAACUCCCAUAACUUCCAUAUAUAAUUUUUAUAUGAACAAUAGGAUUGUAAUGUCUUGUAUUAGUAAUAAUACUUUUAUUAGUAAUAAUUUAGCUCAAAUCAUUAUUAUUAUAAUAAUAAUUUGAGCUAAGUUCAAUGCUUAAUUAUAUCCUUGUGAAUAUACAUAAUUUACAAAGAUCUCAUCAAAACUGUUCUUCACGUUUAUAAUUACAUGUAUUUGACCUUUCUUUGUUAUAACAAGAAAUUUUGUUUUAUGUGUAACCCUUGAAGAAAAUAUAUUAAUUGCUGUGGAAAUAUAAACAUAUCAUACGAAUUUCAGUGCGCACACGACACAUCUUUUUGUUUAAAUAGUACGAAACCAAACGGUUUGAAAGUUUGUGUGAUAAAAAAUAGAGAAUGAAGAAAGAUUGUCUAGAACGAAAAUACGUAGGUAAACACGUCUAGUGCUUUGAAAAAAUGCACAGGUAUUUGUCUAUUUCAUAUUUUUGUAAAAUUUCACAUAAAUGUCUUCUAUAAUUUAAUUACAACAAGAAUAUAUAUAAUGAAUGUUAUGCUAAAUUGACGUGGUUGAUACAAAUUAAAAGAGCCUAAACAACCAGAAGCAUUCUAAGACAGAUUGACGUGUUAAAUUUGCUCUAUGAAUUUGAAACUUUAAUUUAGAACAAUUACAUUAUUUAUGAAGUCAAUAUGUCAUUUUGAUAAAUAAAGACAUUACCGAAGUACUAGCUUCUAAAAAGUUACUAUUUGUUUGAUUUUAGAAGAAAUUUUGAAAGAGAACCUGCCAAGUCACCUAUUGACAAUCAAGUUAAAUAACUGAUAUGGUAUACAUAUAUAAAGAGUAUCAUUUAGUCAACAACACAAAAGGACUGAAAAAGAGGGACGAAAGAUACCAAAGGGACAGUCAAACUCAUAAAUCUAAAACAAACUGACAACGCCAUGGCUAAAAAUGAAAAAGACAAACAAACAACAGCACACACGACACAACAUAGAAAACUAAAGAAUAAACAACACGAACCCCACCAAAAAACUAGGG